AGGUGGCUGAUUGACGUCGUCUCUCCUUGAAUGCACUGCCAGCCCAGCACCCUGCUCAUGAAGAAACAUCCGAAACCCCUUUUUGCGGGACAAUAUUAGAGCAAUAUGCUGCAAGCAUCACCAAUUGUGGUUUUCAGCUAUGUGGUGAUGUGGCUGUUUUGUCUCGGUGAAUCCGAGUUGUAACCCGCCAGCUUAACAUGUUGGCGCUGUAUAUGAGUCGGCGUGUUUAUGCACUGAUGAAUUGCUCUCAGGCAUACGAACUGUUAAGUUAUGAAGAAGGCCAGAAGGUGUGAUGCUGUGCGCUGGUUACUGUUCAGCCCUAGAACUAGUUAUGUCUGGCAGCAUGCGUUUGUAAAUUGUAAGGAUUAGCUGCCUCAUUUUGGGAAUCUUGAAUGAAAUGGUAAA
rnacentral:lncRNA from 1 species